AGGACGACGCUGGCGGCGUGCCUAACACAUGCAAGUCGAGCGGGGUUGAAGCGAGGGGUAACUCGGACUUCUACCUAGCGGCGGACGGGUGAGUAACGCGUGGGCAACCUGCCUCAAGGUUUGGGAUAACAGCUCGAAAGGGCUGCUAAUACCGGAUAUGCCUGUGGCCUCGCAUGGGGCUAUGAGCAAAGGGGAAACCCGCCUUGAGAUGGGCCCGCGUCCCAUCAGCUAGUUGGUGAGGUGAAGGCUCACCAAGGCGACGACGGGUAGCCGGCCUGAGAGGGUGACCGGCCACACUGGGACUGAGACACGGCCCAGACUCCUACGGGGGGCAGCAGUGGGGGAUCUUGCACAAUGGGCGAAAGCCUGAUGCAGCGACGCCGCGUGAGCGAAGAAGGCCUUCGGGUUGUAAAGCUCUGUCUGGAGGGACGAAACAAAUGACGGUACCUCCGGAGGAAGCCACGGCUAACUACGUG
rnacentral:rRNA from 1 species